UACAGAGGGUGCUAGCGUUAAUCGGAUUUACUGGGCGUAAAGCGUGUGUAGGCGGUUUGUUAAGUCGGGUGUGAAAUCCCUGGGCUCAACCUGGGAAUUGCAUUCGAUACUGGCAAGCUAGAGUACGGUAGAGGGCGGCGGAAUUCCGGGUGUAGCGGUGAAAUGCGUAGAUAUCCGGAGGAACACCGAUGGCGAAGGCAACCGCCUGGGCCUGUACUGACGCUGAGACACGAAAGCGUGGGGAGCAAACAGG
rnacentral:rRNA from 1 species